GACAGAGGGUGUAAACGUUGCUCGGAAUCACUGGGCGUAAAGGGCGCGUAGGCGGCUUGCACCGUCAGAUGUGAAAUUCCUGGGCUUAACCUGGGGGCUGCAUUUGAUACGUGUGGGCUUGAGUGCGGAAGAGGGUCGUGGAAUUCCCAGUGUAGAGGUGAAAUUCGUAGAUAUAGGGAAGAACACCAAUAAAGGCGAAGGCAGUUAACUAUUCUAUUCCUGACAUUGAGGCAUGAAAGCGUGGGGAGCAAAACGG
rnacentral:rRNA from 1 species